rnacentral:RNase_P_RNA from 1 species
GGAGCGGACCGGACGGCCGCCGGUCUUUUACCGCGGGUCGCCACAUCGGCCCAUUAUGCGGCAAAAGGCUGGAGGAAAGUCCGGGCUCCGUAGGACAAGGUGGUGGGUAACGCCCACCGGCCGAAAGGCCAGGGAAAGUGCAGCAGAAAGCAGACCGCCUCGCGGAAGUUGCGCCCAAUGCUUAUGUGUUGGAAGGCUACCGUGCGGUAAGGGUGAAACGGUGAGGUAAGAGCUCACCAGCAGGCCGGGUGACCGGCUUGGCUAGGCAAACCCCACUUGGAGCAAGAUCAAGCAGGAAGAAGCGGAUCGCGGCCGGACGAUUCAGUUCGCUCGGCCGUUCCCGCGGGCUGGUCCGGCCCGCUAUCGACUUCCGGGUAGAUCGCUUGAGGGGCCGAGCAAUCGUCCUCCCAGAGAAAUGACCGUCGCCAUUGCCAUUGCGGCGGUGGUACAGAACCCGGCUUACAGGUCCGCUCCGAAC